GCCUGCCGCCUGCCUGCCUGCUAGCCAGCCACCCCAAGUUCCCUUCUAGGCGGUUCUUCAAGCAAACAAUGUCUCGUUUCGUCGAUGAGCGUAGACACCCGGUAGACGAGCUGCAACCCACGUGACUGAACAAGGUUUCCAGAGAUGACAACCACUGGGAUCAGCCACAGAGGACGAAUCCUAACACAAUUUCACGAGGAUCACCCGUUAUAUACCCAGACCGAUCUGUUCGCGUAAUAUUAUAGUCCGGUGAACAGUAAUCUGGGUUACGCCCUCCCCUCGAUUCAUAAGAACCACGCGUUAAAACGGGAGAGAUCGUGAUUUCUCUCCUACCAUCUCCUUCUCUCUUUCACCUCUGUUUCCUCUUCUCUACUAUCUCCUUUCCUAGCUUUCCUUUCCUUUUUCUUUCGACCCGACUUCAUUUUUUUUUUUCAUUCGCAUCCCCCCAAAUUAUGUCAUCGUCCACUAUCGUCUCUAUUAACUUUGGAGCACUGUUUAAAUUUUAUUUCAGACUGGUUCUCAUUUUCAUUUUCAAAAUUUGAAACUGUACGUUUUCAAGAAGUUUUUCCUACGCUUAUUUCUUACGUUUCAGUGAAUUUUUCCUAUGCUCAGUUUUGCUCCUUAGUUACAACGUCCUGCUUGAACGAGCGAGCGAAACGAACGCUUUGCAUUUGCUUCCUCCGAGAAGCGAAUUUUUUUAUCCUACAACGUUCUACUUCGCUCUACUCUACUUUUUUCAACCGUGGUCCACUUUCCCGCGUUAAUUCUGGAUUUACGAGCGUCCGUUUGCCGGUGUAACACGAGUUUCGCGAACCUGGCGAUUCCUUGUCUCGCGAAAUUGCCACCUGCAAUAUUUUAAGGACCCAAAACUUUGCAAACACCAAUUGUGUUUUCAUUCAAUUUUUCCCCUUUGCUUCGUAAACGUUCAAAUUACGCAUUGCCCUCCGUUUUGUUUGCAGAGACGACAGGACCUGACCCAGCAAAUUUUAUUGAGUAAAUCAAGGUCGAGCAAAUUAAGGGGAACAUACGGUGCCGUUCGGAUGGCCGGGAUCUCUCUGUCGUGACGCAGAAAAAUCAAAUUAAACAGCCGCUUUUAAGUCGAAUUAAAACGAAUGCGCUUAAUUAAAGCGGCCUCCGCCGCUGAACUAAAGGAGUUUUAUUGACGUCGAGCUGCUCCUUUGUCGGUGCUACAUGUACCCUUUCAUUAUUAACUUAAAAGGUGUCCACCUUUUUUCCUUUCUUUCUCGGUUUUGAUCGUAAAUAAAGGCCAAAUGUUAUGGCAGAUUCCUAUGUUUAUGAAUGAACACCGUUUGCGGAUAAAAAAUAAUGUAUCCCGUUAAUGACUCAAUAAAGUACUUAUUCCUUGAAA